UCAAAAUACUGCUUUUCCACGUAUAUAUACCAAUUAGGGUCUGGCCCAAAUAAUUGUACCUUCUCCAAUGUGAAAAAUGACACUUUUCCCGGGUUUGACUAGCGCGAUCGCGCUCGUGACCGCACUAGUGGUCGCGCUAAUGGCCAGUAUUCUAUCUGACGAGCGCGGCCACGCUAUUGACGCGCACUAUUUACCCUGUUCCAUUCGGAAUUGGAAAAACGUAAAACAUGAAAGUUAUAGCCCUAGCUUUCCAACCAUAUAUUCUGGAGCCCAAAUGGAGUUCUGAGCAAAAAGUUAUGUGUAUUUUACUAGACAGUACGCAAUAUGCCUACUCGAGUCUUCGUUUGUUCUUAACCGUCAAAGUUGACCCCUGACACGAUCCCGGCUUAAUUCCUUGGACUUUUACUCAGACUUCAAAGCUCCAAAUCACUUGAAUUUAUUCAAUAAUAUCUAUAUAGCUCGAAAUCGCUCCUACAAGACAUACAAUAUACAGUUAGUAUAAGACAAUUAAAGUGCAAAUUCAAUUAAGCAUAAAUAUAAUACAAUUUAACAUAAAAAUAUCAAAAUAUAAGAUAAGUAAUACACUAAAAAUAUGAAAUUAUAGCCAAAUAUGACGGGAUAAGUGCUAGAGAGAAAGGUUUGAACUCUAAAUGUUGAGAAGAUGGAGCACAAUAAAUAAUUGUAGAAUUAGCCGCUAAACAUUAUCGCGAGUCUGGUAUUGCAGAAUUAGUAUGAUUUGAUGAGUAGUAAGAUUUUCCCCCGAGAGGUAAAUGAGUUAUACAAGAAAGUCCAUGGAUAGAUGGAAUUGCUUGCCGUCCGGGCAUCCUCUGAAUUCC
rnacentral:lncRNA from 1 species